GCCUGGGUGGCUCAGUCAGUUAAGCAUCUGACUUCGGCUCAGGUCAUGAUCUCGAGGUUCGUGAGUUCGAGCCCCAUGUCAGGCU
rnacentral:tRNA from 1 species